UACAGAGGGUGCGAGCGUUGUUCGGAAUUAUUGGGCGUAAAGCGCGCGCAGGCGGUCCUUUAAGUCUGAUGUGAAAGCCCACGGCUCAACCGUGGAGGGUCAUUGGAAACUGGGGGACUUGAGUGCAGAAGAGGAAAGUGGAAUUCCACGUGUAGCGGUGAAAUGCGUAGAGAUGUGGAGGAACACCAGUGGCGAAGGCGACUUUCUGGUCUGUAACUGACGCUGAGGCGCGAAAGCGUGGGGAGCAAACAGG
rnacentral:rRNA from 1 species